GAACCACCUAACUGUGGUCUAGGUUAGGUCUCCCCAUGUCCUCAUGGCUAGGUUUCCUGGGCAGGCAUCCUGAGAGAGCAUGAGUCAGCUGGAAGCUUCAUGGCCAUUUUAUAUACAGCCCAGAAUGCAGUCUCACUUUCCCACAUUGUAAUUGCUGAGGCUGUCACAGGUUCCACCCCCACUUCAAGAGAAGGGGAGAAAGUGCAUGAGCAUCUGAAAUUGGAACUGGUCCCAGUCUGGUGGCAGGUGCUGGUCAUCCCAGAACACAGGAGGCUGAGGCUGACUGUGAGUUCAAGGCCACUCUAAGCCCUGUAGAGAGAGUAAAAACAUACACUAAAAAUAACUAAGUGAACAGACAUUGAUAAAUUACCAGCUGAAAAGACUGAUCCACCAUUAACUGCCACCAGUGACGGAUGAGUCGGCCGCUCAAAGCUCACGGACACUGAUGACCCUGCGGUUUUCAUCCCUGUCCUCUGACAGGUUCUCACACUUCUGUGGCGAGUACUGAGCCAUUUCCCUAGCCUGACUGAUCCUUCUUUAAAGAUGGGCUCUCACUAUGUAACCCAAGCUGGCGAUGAAUUCCCAAUCCUCCUGCAUCAGCCUCCCAAGUGAGAGAUGACAGCUGUACACCACCGUGUCUGGCCUCAGUGGUCUCUUUAACACCAGUCACGGCAUUUCCACCCCAGACCUCUCACAGACAAGACACCCUUCAGACACUGUCACCGAAUAAUGGCAGUGUUGCAUGAGCCCUGACAACUGCCAUCUGAGAUUUGUGGACAAUGAACUUACCGUCAGAUGCGUGGCACGUACCUAUGUUGAGUUGUUAGCAAUGCUGUUGUCCCCCAUGCUCCUUUGUA